rnacentral:rRNA from 1 species
UAGCGGCGGAGGGGAAAAAAAGGUGGGUAACCUGCCUGUAAGACUGGGAUAAUUGGGAAAACCGGGGCUAAUACCGGAUGGUUGUUUGAACCGCAUGGUUCAAACAUAAAAGGUGGCUUCGGCUACCACUUUCAAAAGGACCCGCGGCGCAUUAGCUAGUUGGUGAGGUAACGGCUCACCAAGGCAACGAUGCGUAGCCGACCUGAGAGGGUGAUCGGCCACACUGGGACUGAGACACGGCCCAGACUCCUACGGGAGGCAGCAGUAGGGAAUCUUCCGCAAUGGACGAAAGUCUGACGGAGCAACGCCGCGUGAGUGAUGAAGGUUUUCGGAUCGUAAAGCUCUGUUGUUAGGGAAGAACAAGUAUUUUUUCGAAUAGGGCGGUACCUUGACGGUACCUAACCAGAAAGCCACGGCUAACUACGUGCCAGCAGCCGCGGUAAUACGUAGGUGGCAAGCGUUGUCCGGAAUUAUUGGGCGUAAAGGGCUCGCAGGCGGUUUCUUAAGUCUGAUGUGAAAAGCCCCCGGCUCAACCGGGGGAGGGUCAUUGGAAACUGGGGAACUUUGAGUGCCCAAAGAGGAGAGUGAAAUUCCCCGUUGUAUCGGUGAAAUGCGUAAAGA